UACGUAGGGGGCAAGCGUUGUCCGGAUUAUUGGGCGGUAAAGAGCGUGUAGGCGGCUUUACAGGUCCGUUGUGAAAACUCGAGGCUCAACCUCGAGACGCCGGUGGAAACCGUAAGGCUAGAGUCCGGAAGAGGAGAGUGGAAUUCCUGGUGUAGCGGUGAAAUGCGCAGAUAUCAGGAGGAACACCCGUGGCGGAAAGCGGCUCUCUGGGACGGUACUGACGCUGAGACGCGAAAGCGUGGGGAGCGAACAGG
rnacentral:rRNA from 1 species